AGGUCUUCUCCUGCUGCGAAGGGAAGAAGGAAGCUAGCUGGGGCCUUUCUGCUGAGCCUUUUAGACAAUAGCACAUGAUGCUGCCUGGAGUUAAAGGAGGCCAGGAGCACCAGAAGCUGGAGGAGGCCGGGGUGGAUUCUCGCCUGGAGGCUUCAGUGGGAGCACGAGCUCCCGACACUUCGGUUCCAUCUCUUGUUUAAAGGCACCCAGUUUCUCAUCAUUUGUUACAGCACCAUGGAAAACCCACACACAAGUGAAGCCCCGACCCACCUCCCAAGUGCCCAUCUGAGCACCCCUCGUGGACUCUGAGCAGGGGGUUGCCAUCACCAACUCCAAGUCUUGCAGCCCCUCUUCCCUUCAGUCUGGCUGCCACCUUCUUCAUUGCCCUGGAAAAAAAUAAUGAAGUUUCACCAUUUAAAGGGUUUCAGUGCAGCUUGCUAUGGGAACACUGGAGAGUAACACAAAUGGCCAAUUGUCCUAAUAGCCACCAUGGAUUGGAUGGAUGCUAACAACAGGCUCACAGUUCUCCUUCUGUUGCCUCCUUUUAUCCACAUGAGAAUCAAACAAGACUACUGAUUAAAUGAAGCCUUUGAUGAAGUGCAUGCAGUUUGUAGCUUGAUUCAUGGGAAUACUCAUCACAGACUGAAAGUGUAACCCAGGGUCUCUGGGUUUUUGGGAACGCGCUGUGUAAAAGUAUCUACUUGUAACUGUUACUCCCUGAGUUGUUGUUGUUUUAGAAAGUUCCAAGAAGAAGCUUAGCCUUGGAAAAAACAAAAACUGGUUGAAUCCAGAAGUGGAGAUGAAUUUUGGCCAACGCUCCUCACUGCCACACUAAAAACCCUGCUCAGAGAGGAGCUUAUUCACCAUGUUCUAUUCAUGCAAUGUGUGUGGAAACAUGAUCUACGACAGCAUGCGUGCUGCCUUCACCCUACCUCUACAUACAAUGACUCAUUUAACCUGCUGAAUAAAAGCCCUGUUUUCACCUUUGCUGGGGGAGGUGCCGCUUUGGGAACUAUUCGCAGUGUCCUCUUCACUUUUUGCAAGUAAUAGAAUACCCUUGUUAAAUCCUACUUGGUUGUGGUCAUUAUAGUGUCACCCGCCAAGCAAUCGAUCCCACCCAGGGUUAACAAAUGCGGGAUAACAAAUGUCAGGUUUUAGGCAAGUUACUUACUCGCUCAAAAUAUGAAGAUAUAAGUUACCAUCAGUUGUCAAUCAUGGUGAGCUUUGCUCUGCUGCAGUAACAGACAAUCGUAACUCUUAGUAGCUCUAAAUGACCAGUUUAAAUAACACCUCGUCUUUGUAGUUUUGAUAGCGACAGGAGGCAGCCAAAUGCCUAGGCAGGUAGGGGCAGGUUCCCCGUGAAACUCCAUCUCCAAGCCGAAGACAGUUUAGAGCCUGAAAGCCAAGCUCCACAUUAAAUCCUCCGACUGGAUUGAGAACUUGUCUUCCUGUUUAGUGUGCUUUUCUCUCAUUGGUCCCUGCCAUUCACCUAUUUCAUAUACACCUAACCUUUUCUAAUUGGUUUUCUAUACUGUCAUGCCCAACUUUGAGUGGUCUUUGCUUUAACCUUUUCUACAUAUUCACAAACCGAUCAGCAUGCACCCCCCAUUCUGAGUCCAUGAAAGGCUCUGGAUCUAGCCACACAGAGGAACUUUCCCAUCUUCAGGUAGGGGGGCCACCACCAACAUGUCCCCUCUCCACCAAAAGCUGUUUUCAUUGUUCAAUAAAAUUCUUCUCUGCCUUCCUCACCCUUCAAUGUCCAGCAUAUCCUCAUUCUUCUUGGGCAUGGUACAAGAGCACAGGAACCACUGAAGGUGGGUACAAGUUAUAAUACAGGCAAGUGGGGGCAUGCCAGCUUUGGCUGAGUGAGGACCAGGUCGAGCAUUACUGUCAGGGGAUCCCUGGCUUGCAAAGUGACCAAGAAGAAAAGUCUUACAUUAGUUUGGCUAGGGUGAGGCCCUGACCUCUGUUACCUUCACUCGGCCAGCUCACUGAUGGUGACUCUGUAUUGAUAGGCACUCCACCCAGAAAUUGUGCACUGACAUUUCCUGGCCAACGAAAGUUACUCAACUAUGCCUGAUUUUAAACUGCAAUCCUAACAUGACCCAGAAGGUGAAGAGCCAGAAAUAUUUGAUGACUACACUGAGCCCACUUUCCCUCACAGGCUUGUUUUGCAGGGUUAAUGAUUUAAGCCAUGUGAUGUAUGGUUCACAGGGUGCCUGGCACCUGCCAAGUAUUCUUCCCCCAGGAGUUGGCAGGUCCUUGAAGGCACUCUCUGGUUUAGAUAUUCUUAGCUCCUUCCACUGUUCCUCAUGCUACAUUAUCUUAAAUCUUUUUAUUUUUACCAUCCUGGUUCGUCUCCUCUAAAAAUCCUACCCAAAUGUCCCUGUUAAUUCAUGAUCCACCAGAAACAAACAAUCUUCCAGCUGAAUACAGAACCCAAGAGAACAAAAUGAUCUCCUUCCUUCUUCUAGAUUAUGCAUCCUAAAAUCUGACUGUUUUUUCUUUUCUGGCAAUCAGAGUGCACUGUUGAAUUUACUGUCAAUUAAACAUUCUCCAUCUCUUCUAUGUAUUUUUCUGUAUUUAGACAUUUUUCUCCAAUCCCAUACUUGUGUCAUUAGCUUUUCAGUCACAAAUAAAAGAAGUUUCACAUUGUUCCUUAUUAAAGAGCAUCUGUUUGACUUGGCCCAUUCUUCCCAGCAGUUAUAAUUCAGACCAAGGUUGUUCUCAUCCAACAUUCAAACAAACACUAUGGAAUGGGAGAGGUAUGAAAGCAUUCAUCCCGACAAACAAUGGUCUCACCAUUUUGGAAGGCAUCUUUUUUACUUCAUUUUUUAACAGCUGUAUUAAUAUGUAACUGAGGUACAAUAAACUGAAUACAUUUAAAGGGUACAAUUUUUAUAAGUGUGGACCUUUGAAUACACCCAUGGAACCAUGACCAAAAUUAAGACCAUGAACAUAUCUGUCACUCCCAGAAGUUUCCUUGUGUUCCUUUCUAAUCCUCCCUUCUUGCCUAGGAGACAUUUUUUGUUAUUUAUAUAUUAUUUUUUUUAAGGACUCUUUCUCUGUCUCCCAGGCUGGAGUGCAGUGGCGUGACUUUGGCUCACUGCAAACUCUGCGUCCUGGGUUCAAGCGAUUCUCCUGCCUCAGCCUCCUGAGUAGCUGGGACUACAAUUGCGUGCCACCACACCCAGCUAAU
rnacentral:lncRNA from 1 species